UGCAGUCGACGAUGAACCGGUUUCGGCCGGGGAUUAGUGGCGAACGGGUGAGUAACACGUGGGCAAUCUGCCCUGCACUCUGGGACAAGCCCUGGAAACGGGGUCUAAUACCGGAUACGACGCGUUCCCGCAUGGGAUACGCGUGGAAAGCUCCGGCGGUGCAGGAUGAGCCCGCGGCCUAUCAGCUUGUUGGUGGGGUGAUGGCCUACCAAGGCGACGACGGGUAGCCGGCCUGAGAGGGCGACCGGCCACACUGGGACUGAGACACGGCCCAGACUCCUACGGGAGGCAGCAGUGGGGAAUAUUGCACAAUGGGCGAAAGCCUGAUGCAGCGACGCCGCGUGAGGGAUGACGGCCUUCGGGUUGUAAACCUCUUUCAGCAGGGAAGAAGCGAAAGUGACGGUACCUGCAGAAGAAGCGCCGGCUAACUACGUGCCAGCAGCCGCGGUAAUACGUAGGGCGCAAGCGUUGUCCGGAAUUAUUGGGCGUAAAGAGCUCGUAGGCGGCUUGUCGCGUCGGAUGUGAAAGCCCGGGGCUUAACCCCGGGUCUGCAUUCGAUACGGGCAGGCUAGAGUUCGGUAGGGGAGAUCGGAAUUCCUGGUGUAGCGGUGAAAUGCGCAGAUAUCAGGAGGAACACCGGUGGCGAAGGCGGAUCUCUGGGCCGAUACUGACGCUGAGGAGCGAAAGCGUGGGGAGCGAACAGGAUUAGAUACCCUGGUAGUCCACGCCGUAAACGUUGGGAACUAGGUGUGGGCGACAUUCCACGUUGUCCGUGCCGCAGCUAACGCAUUAAGUUCCCCGCCUGGGGAGUACGGCCGCAAGGCUAAAACUCAAAGGAAUUGAC
rnacentral:rRNA from 1 species